GGACCCGCACAAGCGGUGGAGCAUGUGGUUUAAUUCGAAGCAACGCGAAGAACCUUACCAAAUCUUGACAUCCUUUGACCCUUCUAGAGAUAGAAGUUUCCCCUUCGGGGACAAAGUGACAGGUGGUGCAUGGUUGUCGUCAGCUCGUGUCGUGAGAUGUUGGUUAAGUCCCGCAACGAGCGCAACCCUUAAGCUUAGUUGCCAUCAUUAAGUUGGGCACUCUAAGUUGACUGCCGGUGACAAACCGGAGGAAGGUGGGGAUGACGUCAAAUCAUCAUGCCCCUUAUGAUUUGGGCUACACACGUGCUACAAGUGGACAAUACAAAGGGCAGCAAGUUCGCAGAGGACAAGCAAA
rnacentral:rRNA from 1 species